GCUCCAGUAGCGCAAUCGGUUAGCGCGCGGUACUUAUAAUGCCGAGGUUGUGAGUUCAAGCCUCACCUGGAGCA
rnacentral:tRNA from 1 species